rnacentral:rRNA from 1 species
AUUGAACGCUGGCGGCAUGCUUUACACAUGCAAGUCGAACGGGAUGAGGGGGCAACUUCUCAUUCAGUGGCGAACGGGUGAGUAAUGCAUCGGAACGUACCCUGUAGUGGGGGAUAACGCCGGGAAACCGGCGCUAAUACCGCAUAUUUCUCUACGGGAGGAAAGGCGGGGAUUCGCAAGAACCUCGCGCUAGUGGGAGCGGCCGAUGUUCGAUUAGCUUGUUGGUGGGGUAAUCGGCCCACCGAAGGCUGCGAUCGGUAGCUGGUCUGAGAGGAUGAUCAGCCACAC